rnacentral:lncRNA from 1 species
GCCCACAGCCCUGUGAUGGGCCCUCUUCUCUCCUCACUGCCCUGCUGUGACUAGGGAAUGCACCUUCCCAAGACCUGUGACACACCUUUGGGGAUGGCUAGGUGAGCUCCCCAUCUCAGACACAACUGGUCCACCUUCUAGAGGCCCGCACCUGUGCUGAGGCCACACCCCUCCCCCUUCCCAACAGCUGCACACUGCUCUGGAGUGGAAGGAUCCGGGACACCGCAGCUCCCUCUGCUCAGCUGAUGCAGUAAAAGGCUCUUUGCUCCCCGGGACGUGUUCAUUCAUGGUUUGCUGCGUCAUCUCCCUGCACAUAGGGAUUUCCUAUGUCAGAUCAACACCACUUUUGAUGCUUUUCCCCCACCUACCUGACAAUAUAUUGACUAAAGUGAACCAUUUGAAACCUCUGGGAUUUGUGUCCCUUCCAGGGUGAGGGACUUUGUUGCCAACAAGACCAAUGCCUCAGAACCUGUGACUCAGUUUUGGCUGGAGGUAGGGGACCCAGGCCUGGAGGAGCCAAGCUGCAGUGAGACUUCAAGGCAGCCACACAGUCCACCGCCAGGGUUCAACUGCACCUCCUCAGCCUCAGCUGAGCACCAAGAUUCUGGGCUCCCCUUAUUGCCCUGUGAGCUGCUCCUGAGAAGUCAGAUCCGACUUGUCCUCUGUGGUCACCUUGGAGUUACACUUCCUUUCUCUCUGCCAUCUACUUUGAAGAACUCCUUUUCAGGUACCUGAGACACGUUAUGUCUGAUGUAUGUACGCUUGUUCUCCCUUUGAUGUCUCUGUCCUAGAAAAGCAGCCAAGCCUUGAAUUUAUCAAGGGAGGAGAUUUAUGUGAAUAGCUCCCUGGACACUUCAUUAGAAAGGAUUACUGGAGGUACAGUUAUUCUUUUAAAAUGUGUAAACACACACCCUGAAUUGCCAUUGUGACAGAUUUCCUCCCUUAUCGUGAUAAAUGUACCUUAUCUUCCUGGAAUCAACUCUUCAUUAUGCCUGUCAGUGUGGAUGUAGGAUUUAUAGGUAUUCGCUUUCAUAAUCAGUCAAACAUUAAUGACAAAAGAAGACACUGGAGUUACUGUCUUGUUGAGACUUGAGGAAAAUGAUGGCAAAUGAUUGAAAAAGGCAGGAAAUCUGAAAGAAAGAGCCAAUGAGAAAGGAUUUUUGAGGGGCUUAACGUUUACUGGAAGCGAAGAGAGGAAACAAGGGUCCCCGCAGAAAAAUGGGAGUUUCCUUGUAAUCUGAUAAGGGCCAGCAAGGUUGGGGAUCCAGGCUGGAGUCAUCUGUGAUGCUUUGGUCUUAACUAUAGGAGCUUGGGGUUUUGGUAUACACCCAGGAGGAAAGUUCCCAGGUGAAUUGAGGGAAGUUGUGUUUGAAUCCCUGCCAGAAAAAUUCCAACAUUCUCAAGGACCAAGUAGCCAUUUAAGCCUUAAGGGGGUGAACCAGAAUAAGCCAGACUUAGUUCUUGUUGCCAAGGAGUUUGUUCAGUUGAUCUAUUGCUACAGAAAAAAAAAAUCAUCUUAAAACAAUGGCUUAAAACGAGAGCA